rnacentral:rRNA from 1 species
AUUGAACGCUGGCGGCAUGCCUUACACAUGCAAGUCGAACGGCAGCACGGGGCAACCUGGUGGCGAGUGGCGAACGGGUGAGUAAUGCAUCGGAACGUACCUUUCAGUGGGGGAUAACGUAGCGAAAGUUACGCUAAUACCGCAUAUUCUGUGAGCAGGAAAGCAGGGGAUCGCAAGACCUUGCGCUGAUUGAGCGGCCGAUGUCAGAUUAGCUAGUUGGUGAGGUAAAGGCUCACCAAGGCGACGAUCUGUAGCGGGGCUGAGAGGAUGAUCCGCUACACUGGAACUGAGACACGGUCCAGACUCCUACGGGAGGCAGCAGUGGGGAAUUUUGGACAAUGGGGGCAACCCUGAUCCAGCCAUGCCGCGUGAGUGAAGAAGGCCUUCGGGUUGUAAAGCUCUUUCGGCCGGGAAGAAAUCGCACGGGCUAAUACCCUGUGUGGAUGACGGUACCGGAAUAAGAAGCACCGGCUAACUACGUGCCAGCAGCCGCCGUAAUAC